ensembl:lincRNA
GGUUUUUAUAUCGGUUUAUUCGGAGACAUUGGAAACUGGAGUCAGAAGAGUGAAAUGUUGAGAGAAACGGGGAGGAUUAACCAAGAAUAGCAAGCCAGAUUGAGUCAGAAAAAGGAUCUUUCAGCCAGAAAUUUUAGUGUCCAACAAUGGCAUCAGGAGAUGGUUACUUGCCCAGGAUGAGAUUGUUAAAAGUGAAGAUCAAUGGGUGAUAUUAUGUGUGCAGCUUUUGGAAAAGAGGGAUCAUGGUGAUCAUUCUACUCUGAACCCUGCUUUUUAUUUAAUACUACAUCACAGCCCAGGUGGGUCAGUGGUAAAGAACCUGCCUGCUAGUGCAGGAGACGUGGGUUUGAUCCUUGGGUCAAGAAUAUCCCCUGGGAAAGAAAGUGGCAACCCUCCUCCCAUAUUCUUGCCUGGAAAAUUCCAUGGACAUAGGAGCCUAGUGGACUACAGUUUAUGAGGCCUCAAAGAGUUGAAUACGACUAAGCACACACAAAAACACACAUAUACACACACCAUAGACCCCUUACUAUGUACACUAUAGGAUUUUUAAAGUAUAAAUUUUAUUGCAGUAUAACAUGCAGAAAAUUCACAGAUUCUAAGUGUGCAGCUUGAUUGGUGAAUGUUCACAAAGUGAGCACACCCAUGUAAUCAACAGAACGCAACAGGCACCCCAGAAACAGAACAUACCAGCACCCCAAAGCUUCCCUCAUGCCCCCUUCCAAGUACUGUGCUCCAUCUCAAGUGUUACUGCUAUCUUGACUGCUAAAACAUAGACUUCCCCACCCCUCCCAUUUUUGAACUUUAUACAAAUGAUAUAUUUAUAAAAUAUAUGGUAUAUUUAAAGUAUUUAUAAGAACUGCAGUGUGUACCUUUUUUGUUUUUGUCUAGCUUUUCUUAUCAUUAUGCUUGUGAGAUUUAUUCCAUUUUUGUGUAUGGGUGUAGCAUGCACAUCUGAAUUGUUGUAUAGUAUUG